rnacentral:rRNA from 1 species
CCCAGACUCCUACGGGAGGCAGCAGUGGGGAAUAUUGCACAAUGGGGGGAACCCUGAUGCAGCGACGCCGCGUGGGUGAAGGAGUACUUCGGUACGUAAAGCCCUAUCAGCAGGAAAGAAAAUGACGGUACCUGACUAAGAAGCCCCGGCUAACUACGUGCCAGCAGCCGCGGUAAUACGUAGGGGGCAAGCGUUAUCCGGAUUUACUGGGUGUAAAGGGGGCGCAGACGGCGAUGCAAGCCAGGAGUGAAAGCCCGGGGCCCAACCCCGGGACUGCUCUUGGAACUGCGUGGCUGGAGUGCAGGAGGGGCAGGCGGAAUUCCUAGUGUAGCGGUGAAAUGCGUAGAUAUUAGGAGGAACACCAGUGGCGAAGGCGGCUUACUGGACGGCAACUGACGCUGAGGCUCGAAAGCGUGGGGAGCAAACAGGAUUAGAUACCCGAGUA